rnacentral:rRNA from 1 species
GUAGGGUGGCAAGCGUUGUCCGGAAUUAUUGGGCGUAAAGCGCGCGCAGGCGGUCCUUUAAGUCCGAUGUGAAAGCCCACGGCUCAACCGUGGAGGGUCAUUGGAAACUGGGGGACUUGAGUACAGAAGAGGAAAGCGGAAUUCCAAGUGUAGCGGUGAAAUGCGUAGAGAUUUGGAGGAACACCAGUGGCGAAGGCGGCUUUCUGGUCUGUAACUGACGCUGAGGCGCGAAAGCGUGGGGAGCAAACAGGAUUAGAUACCCUGGUAGUCCACGCCGUAAACGAUGAGUGCUAAGUGUUAGGGGGUUUCCGCCCCUUAGUGCUGCAGCUAACGCAUUAAGCACUCCGCCUGGGGAGUACGGCCGCAAGGCUG